rnacentral:rRNA from 1 species
UACGUAGGGUGCGAGCGUUGUCCGGAAUUAUUGGGCGUAAAGAGCUCGUAGGCGGCCAACUAAGUCAGACGUGAAAUCCCUCGGCUUAACCGGGGAACUGCGUCUGAUACUGGAUGGCUUGAGUUUGGGAGAGGGAUGCGGAAUUCCAGGUGUAGCGGUGAAAUGCGUAGAUAUCAGGAGGAACACCGGUGGCGAAGGCGGGUCUCUGGGCCGAAAUUGACGCUGAGGAGCGAAAGCGUGGGGAGCAAACAGG